rnacentral:rRNA from 1 species
AGUGAACGCUGGCGGCAGGCCUAACACAUGCAAGUCGAACGGCAGCACAGUAAGAGUUUGCUUUUACCGGUGGCGACUGGCGGACGAGUAACGAAUACAUCACUAACUACUUUUUCUAGGGGGACAACGUAGAGCAUCAGACGCUAAUUCCUCAUACUACCAACGGGUGGAAGCAGGGGAUCUUGCGACCUUGCGCGAUUCAUUGAGCCGAUGCCGGAUUAGCUAGUUGGCGGGGUAAAGGCCCACCAAGGCGACGAUCCGUAGCUGGUCUGAGAGGAUGAUCGGCCACACUGGAACUGAGACACGGUCCAGACUCCUACGGGAGGCAGCAGUGGGGAAUUUUGGGCAAUGGGCGCAAGCUUGCACCAGCCAUACCGCGUGGGUGAAGAAGGCCUUCGGGUUGUAAAACACUUUUAUUAGGGAAGAAAAGCAGUAUGUUUAUAUAUCGCUGUUCUGACGGUACCCAAACAAAAAGCACCGGCUAACUUCGUG